rnacentral:misc_RNA from 1 species
AAAGCGAGUACUUGUUCAGGGAGUGGAUAUGUUUGGACAACGCAUUGGCUUUCUAAAAUUCAAAGCAGAUAUUUUUUGUCAGCAAACAGGGAAUAAGGUUCCAGGUAUAGUAUUUGCAAGAGGACCAGCUGUAGCUGUGCUAAUUCUUUUGGACUCUGAGGGUGAGACUUAUUGCUGUUCUUACUGAACAGGUUAGGGUCCCCACUGGAAGGCUUGUUUUGCAAUUACCUGCUGGGAUGUUGGAUGAUGACAAAGGUGAUUUGGUUGGCACUGCAGUUCGUGAGGUUGAAGAGGAGACUGGUAUUCACUUAAAUCUAGAAGACAUGGUUGAUCUGACAGCCUUCCUGGAUCCAGCCACUGGAUGCAGAGUUAUUCCUUCUCCUGGAGGAUGGGAUGAAGAAAUUGGCAUUUUCCUUUACAGAGGAUGUGUUAAUAAAGAUGUCAUCACACAACUAAAAGGCAAAGAGACCGGCCUUCAUGAUCGUGGUGAGCUGAUUAAGGUUCGUGUGGUUCCCUAUGCAACACUUUGGCGCAUGACAGGCUAUGCUAAGGUUUUAAUGGCCAUUGCAAUUUAUGAGAUGGCAAAGAAGGAAGGACUGUUGCCCUCGAAAGCCUAAUCUCCUUGCUACUCUUGCUGCUACUAGGCACUAUGCAGGUUUCAUUUUCUGGUUUUUCAGGUUUUGUCUUAGUUUUCCUAGUUUCUAAGCGACUAGUUUUUCUGCAUAGUGUUACAAUGACCGGUAAACUUUAUCAACUUAUUAACCAUUAUUUUAAUCAUGGAAGUGG